CUCAUCUCUUGUAGUCAGCAGCAGGUAGUCCCAAGGAGGGCCCUGCGCCGUGUGCCACCAUGAAAGAUCCAGAGAGCGCACACCAACUACAAAUAGCCCUGGACUCGAGCUCUGUUACAACCAGUGAA